rnacentral:rRNA from 1 species
UCCCAAACUGGGAUUAGAUACCCCACUAUGCUUAGCCUUAAACCUAAAUAAUUUCCUAACAAAAUUAUUCGCCAGAGAACUACAAGCCAGAGCUUAAAACUCAAAGGACUUGGCGGUGCUUUAUACCCGCCUAGAGGAGCCUGUCCCAU